AGCUGGGAUAGCUUACUUGGUAGAGUAUGAGGCUCAAUCUCAGGGUUGUGGGGUCGAGUCCCACAUUGGUCA